rnacentral:rRNA from 1 species
AUGUAUUCCAAGGAGGAAUACUGGAGACAGCGGGGUUCUAUGAAUUGGGUGCUAUUUGGAGAUGCCAAUACCGCCUACUUCCAGGCCAUUGCCAAUGGCCGUAGACGCCGCUGCUCUAUCCCCCUCUUAUGGGAGGGUGGACAAUUGUUCCAGGAUCCUCAAGCGAUCCGCUCCUUAGUCAACGACUUUUAUAAGUCGUUAUUUCAGGGGCGCCCUCGGAGUGGCGUCGCUUUAGCAGACCACAUUUGG